rnacentral:tRNA from 1 species
AGGGGUAUAGCUCAAUAGUAGAGUGCAUGCUUGGAGUGCACAAGGUCCUGGGUUCAAUCCCCAGAGCCUCCG